rnacentral:rRNA from 1 species
AUUGAACGCUGGCGGCAUGCUUUACACACGCAAGUCGAACGGUAACAGGUUAAGCUGACGAGUGGCGAACGGGUGAGUAAUGCAUCGGAACGUGCCCGGUCGUGGGGGAUAACGCAGCGAAAGCUGCGCUAAUACCGCAUACGAUCUAAGGAUGAAAGCGGGGGACCGUACGGCCUCGCGCGAUCGGAGCGGCCGAUGUCAGAUUAGGUAGUUGGUGGGGUAAAGGCUCACCAAGCCAACGAUCUGUAGCUGGUCUGAGAGGACGACCAGCCACACUGGGACUGAGACACGGCCCAGACUCCUACGGGAGGCAGCAGUGGGGAAUUUUGGACAAUGGGCGAAAGCCUGAUCCAGCAAUGCCGCGUGCAGGAAGAAGGCCUUCGGGUUGUAAACUGCUUUUGUACGGAGCGAAAAGGUCUCCUCUAAUACAGGGGGCUCAUGACGGUACCGUAAGAAUAAGCACCGGCUAACUACGUGCCAGCAGCCGCCGUAA